UUGAAAGGGAAACGAUUGAAGUCAGUCGUACCAGCGGGAAAUCAACCUUUCGAGUGGGGGUUUUGGAGUUUUGAAGAGUGUCAAAACCUUUGAGAUUUCAAAAUUUUCGCUCUUUUGGUGUACUUUCUCGUGGGUAGGUUAACAUCGAUUUUGAUCAUCAUAAAAAGAUUGGAGGAAUGUAGCUUCGAUCUUGUAUUGAAGUGUUAUAGCCUUUGGUAAAUGUGAUGAUUAGGAUCGAGGAUUGCAACGAAUACCCUUUUGGGCUAUCCGCCUGAUCUCUGAUACGUGGCCUUGGUAUCGAAAGCGUGCUUAUGGUAUUGAGGUAUUACGGUCAAAAGGUUAGAACGGAUUACAUUCGUUAAGGAUGUUGACGUA
rnacentral:rRNA from 3 species